rnacentral:rRNA from 1 species
AAUUUUGGACAAUGGUGGAAACCCUGAUACAGUCAUCCAGCGUGUUAGCUGAAGGCCUUCGGGUUGUAAAGUACUUGUGGUAGAAAAGAAAAGGUAUCCACUAAUACGGGAAAAUGCUGACGGUAUCUGCAGAAUAAGCAUCGGCUAACUACGUGCGUGCAGCCGCGGUAAUACGUACGGUGCAAGCUGUAAUCGGAAUUACUGGGCGUAAAGCGUGUGUAGGCGGUUCAGAAAGAAGGAUGUGAAAUCCCAGGGCUCAACCUUGGAACUGCAUUUUUAACUGCCGAGCUAGAGUAUGUAAGAGGGGGGUAGAAUUCCACUUGUAGCAGUGAAAUGCGUAGAUAUGUGGAGGAAUACCGAUGGCGAAGGCAGCCCCCUGGGAUAAUACUGACGCUCAGACACGAAAGCGUGGGGAGCAAACAGG